rnacentral:rRNA from 1 species
CACUAUGCCUAGCCGUAAACAUUGAUAGUAAACUACGCCCACUAUCCGCCCGGGAACUACGAGCACCAGCUUGAAACCCAAAGGACUUGGCGGUGCUUUAGAUCCACCUAGAGGAGCCUGUUCUAGAACCGAUUACCCCCGUUCAACCUCACCUUUCCUUGUUUUCCCCGCCUAUAUACCACCGUCGUCAGCUUACCCUGUGAAGGACUCAUAGUAAGCAAGAUUGGCAUAGCCCAAAACGUCAGGUCGAGGUGUAGCGUAUGGAAAGGGAAGAAAUGGGCUACAUUCACUAACAUAGUGAAACACGAACGAUACACUGAAAUACGUAUCUGAAGGAGGAUUUAGCAGUAAGCAGAAAAUAGAGCGUUCCGCUGAAACUGGCCCUGAAGCGCGCACACACCGCCCGUCACUCUCCCCAAGCUUACUAACCUUAAGUACCUAAGACCCUAAAACUGCAAAGGGGAGGCAAGUCGUAA